AAUAAAUAUAAAUACAAGGAAAAAAAACAAAAGAGGGAUCUGAAAAUUUGAGAGAGAAUCGGCAGGAGAGAGAAGGGAGAAAGAAGAAGAAGAUAAAAGAGGGAAAUUAGAAGGGAAAUAGAAAGGAAUUGAAGGAAAUAAGUUUAAAGAUAAUCCUAAUAUUCUACCGGCGGGACGUCAAUAGGAUUUUCUUCGGUGUCUGCUUUUGACUUCCGUUUGCUUUCGAGUCAGGCGUAUAGCUUGUUAGCGGGUUAUUUUUGUUGAACCUUCCGAACCUGCUUUUCAGUUGUAAUUUGUACCUUUUUUUUGUCUAGUUAGUGCUCCAAAACUAUGAAAUUAUAUUAACUCUUAUAUUAAGACAAUUUAAUUAUAUUAUGAAGUUAAUUUUGUUAUAAA